CCCCAAGCAAUUUGCUUAAUUUGAUAAAAUUUAAUUGGAACAGUGAAGACUUGGUUAAUAUUUAAAAAACAAACAGUUAAUCAUGUUCUUUUGCACUGCCUGUAUCAGCUCCAUCAGAAGCACCAUGCUGCUCUUGAGGGACAGACAAAUCAGAAUUGAGGCACCAGAGAUACCAAGUGCUAUCUUUGAAAAAUGGACUUUUAAAAAACAUCUGGUUUGACUUGGAAAGCAGAACCUGCCAGAAGAUGCUGAACACCAACCAGCACCAUCCUUUUUCCACUCUCCUUUGGCACUAAGUUCAAAGUGAAACUUCACAAGAGAUUGCAGCUGUGUCCUUUGAGCCCUGUGACUCAGCACCAGCACGACAGCCUCACACAUGAGGAAAUGCGUGUGCAAAAAACACUUUCUAGGAGGCUUCUGCCUAAUGCUGGGAAACACUGAUGCACUCUGGCUCCAGGGAGAGGACAAUCAUUCAAUCUGUGUGCCCAGUCAGAGAUGCAGUGGAUACAUAAUUUUU
rnacentral:lncRNA from 1 species